UACGAAGGGGGCUAGCGUUGCUCGGAAUUACUGGGCGUAAAGCGCACGUAGGCGGAUUGUUAAGUCGGGGGUGAAAUCCUGGAGCUCAACUCCAGAACUGCCUUCGAUACUGGCGAUCUCGAGUUCGGGAGAGGUGAGUGGAACUGCGAGUGUAGAGGUGAAAUUCGUAGAUAUUCGCAAGAACACCAGUGGCGAAAGGCGGCUCAC
rnacentral:rRNA from 1 species